GAGUCUCUUAUGGAGUGUCAUACGCUUUAAAUCUUGAUCAGCUACAACAGUUCUUAACGUGUGAGUUCAAGCUGACUCCACUCUAUACUGCUGCUCAUUCAAUCUUUUUCAGUACUAUUUCAAAUACAGUUUUCAGGGGAGGAGUUUGUUUGAGACAUGUUUUGUGUGACAAGGGAAGAACAGAAAGUUUAGUUGAACAUCAGUUUAUGCUGAGCAAAAACACCACCAUCAUCAACAUGUUGCUCUGUUUAACUGCUUUGAUUUGUUCACUUAUAUGUGGCAGUUUUGCGAAUGUCAUCACUCCAGUCCAGACUGAGGUUUAUAAGAAAGAGGGAGAAAAUGUUACUCUGACCUGUAACUACUCCUCAGCAUCCACACUGCAGUGGUAUCUCCAGUAUCCCGGAUCAGCUCCUGAAUUUCUUUUGAUAAUAUUACCUUCUACAGGAAAAGUUUCACAAAAGUCAGAAAUUGUGGAGCGAGAUCCUCGAUUCUCUGGGAAAGUGAAUGAAGAGAAAACCCAUGUGGCUCUGGAGAUCUCCUCUGCUAAAGUGACAGACUCUGGAACUUACUACUGUGCCAUGGUGCCCACAGUGACAGGAAACACAAGAACUCUGUACAAAAACCCUCAUACUGUAGUUGAAUGUUGUUUGUAGUUGUAUGUAGUUUAAUGAAUCUUCAUAAAAUAUUUGAAAAAAAAAUCUUCUACAUGUUUGAAAUACAUAUUUUUCAAUCAGUCAGUAUUGACAAAAUAGAAUCAUAAGAACACUAUUCAAAUGCAUAACUCAUCAAGUUCUUAAGAUUUUAGAAAUAGUUACAUAAAGUACCCUGACAAGAUGUAUGGCUUUCAUGUACAGAAGUAAAGUUCUAUAAAAUUAUGUUCAGCUGAAGUACAAUACUUUCAUGAUAUUACAUCGCCACC